rnacentral:lncRNA from 1 species
AGCAAUCCUAGAAUGGGUGACCCACUGGGAAGUUGCUUGUGAGUUCCCAAAAACAAAACCGUGAGGCAGAGAGGGGGGCCCAAAGCGGACAAUAUCGUGCUACGGUGGAGCCGAUCCCGGAAUGUGAUACAUAAUAUUUACAAUCAAUUUGGCCAUAAAAAAUGUCUAAUUAUCAUUCAAUAACAAUAGUCAAACAUACAAAAAGAGAUGGUCCAUAAAAUUCUUAUAUUCAAAUAGAAAUUCAAACACAGUAAUGUUGAUCUUGGGCAAAGAACUUUGAGCCUUGUAAUACCC